AAUGCCGGAUAACAUGUUGAACCGCAUGGUUCUACAGUGAAAGACGGUCUUGCUGUCACUUAUAGAUGGACCCGCGCCGUAUUAGCUAGUUGGUGGGGUAACGGCCUACCAAGGCGACGAUACGUAGCCGACCUGAGAGGGUGAUCGGCCACACUGGAACUGAGACACGGUCCAGACUCCUACGGGAGGCAGCAGUAGGGAAUCUUCCGCAAUGGGCGAAAGCCUGACGGAGCAACGCCGCGUGAGUGAUGAAGGUCUUCGGAUCGUAAAGCUCUGUUGUUAGGGAAGAACAAAUGUGUAAGUAACUGUGCACAUCUUGACGGUACCUAACCAGAAAGCCACGGCUAACUACGUGCCAGCAGCCGCGGUAAUACGUAGGUGGCAAGCGUUAUCCGGAAUUAUUGGGCGUAAAGCGCGCGUAGGCGGUUUUUUAAGUCUGAUGUGAAAGCCCACGGCUCAACCGUGGAGGGUCAUUGGAAACUGGAAAACUUGAGUGCAGAAGAGGAAAGUGGAAUUCCAUGUGUAGCGGUGAAAUGCGCAGAGAUAUGGAGGAACACCAGUGGCGAAGGCGGCUUUCUGGUCUGCAACUGACGCUGAUGUGCGAAAGCGUGGGGAUCAAACAGGAUUAGAUACCCUGGUAGUCCACGCCGUAAACGAUGAGUGCUAAGUGUUAGGGGGUUUCCGCCCCUUAGUGCUGCAGCUAACGCAUUAAGCACUCCGCCUGGGGAGUACGGUCGCAAGACUGAAACUCAAAGGAAUUGACGGGGACCCGCACAAGCGGUGGAGCAUGUGGUUUAAUUCGAAGCAACGCGAAGAACCUUACCAAAUCUUGACAUCCUUUGACCGCUCUAGAGAUAGAGUUUUCCUCUUCGGAGGACAAAGUGACAGGUGGUGCAUGGUUGUCGUCAGCUCGUGUCGUGAGAUGUUGGGUUAAGUCCCGCAACGAGCGCAACCCUUGAACUUAGUUGCCAUCAUUCAGUUGGGCACUCUAAGUUGACUGCCGGUGACAAACCGGAGGAAGGUGGGGAUGACGUCAAAUCAUCAUGCCCCUUAUGAUUUGGGCUACACACGUGCUACAAUGGACAAUACAAAGGGCAGCGAAACCGCGAGGUCAAGCAAAUCCCAUAAAGUUGUUCUCAGUUCGGAUUGUAGUCUGCAACUCGACUACAUGAAGCUGGAAUCGCUAGUAAUCGUAGAUCAGCAUGCUACGGUGAAUACGUUCCCGGGUCUUGUACACACCGCCCGUCACACCACGAGAGUUUGUAACACCCG
rnacentral:rRNA from 1 species